rnacentral:tRNA from 1 species
UGCGCCUAUAGCUCAAUGGAUAGAGCACUAGUCUUCGGAACUAGUGAUGGGGGUUCGAUUCCCUCUAGGCGUACCCA